GGUAAGCUUUUUGCUCUUCGAAACAGAUCCAUAUCUAUGGCUCCUAUCACCACUCUCUUCUUCUUCCUCUACUCUUCUUUUCAUCUUCUGACAACCCCUCAGCUUCUAGCAUUCCAUGUUUCAGCAUUCUUGGAAUCUACAGCAAGAUUUGGUUUCGCUCCCAUGGAUGGUCCUGCCUUCCUGUGAUCUGAUGGUUUUGUAUUCAUCUUCAUCUCAAUCUUGCUUCCUUGAGAAUAGGUUUGACAUUCAGGGAAGGCUGCAGCCGGAUUAAACCUUUGCAGUGGAAUUUUCCCAAUUCUGUUUCUAUAUUUCUUUAAUUUCCUUGAUUACCUUCAAUUUCUUUUUAAUUUUUUUUUGUAAGUACAUAAUUUUUAUUGGAAGUUUGAGUGAUUUUAUCCUUGAGUUAUCUUGUUUUUGUCCAAAUAAAAUAAUCUGGAGUUAUUUUCCUUUAAAAAAUAUCAAGUUAGCUGUUACUCAAUUCAAAGAGAGCCUAUAAAAGGCAUCUCUAUUUGGGGUGGAGUUGAAGGGUGUAAUUCACCCAUUCUACUUGGAAAUUUUUUAUUUUCUUUUAAAUAAAAAAGUGUUCAUUAAAUAUAAACCACAAUGCAAUUUUUUUUUUAAAUUUUAUAUAUACUAUAUGUAAAUAUUUUAAGACAAUUUUAAAAAAUAAUUUUGAGGUUUUCAUUUAAAAAAAAUUAAAAGAAUUUGAAUAGAAAUUUAAACAUUUUAUGGCUUUAUAAUUUAUUUAUAAAAUUUUAUUUUUAAUCUUCU
rnacentral:misc_RNA from 1 species